AUUGAACGCUGGCGGCAGGCUUAACACAUGCAAGUCGAACGAGUGGCGGACGGGUGAGUAAUGCCUGGGAAACUAGCUUAUGGAGGGGGAUAACUACGGGAAACUGUAGCUAAUACCGCGUACCAUUCGUUGUGCCCAAGUGGGAUUAGUUAGUGGGUAGGGUAAUGGAUCACCAAGCCGACGAUCGCUAGCUGGUCUGAGAAGAUGACCAACAACCCUGGGGCUGAGGCACGGAGCAGACUCCUACGGGAGGCAGCAGUGGGGAAUAUAGCGCAAUGGGGGAAACCUGAGGCAGCCAUAACGCGAGAAUGAAGAAGGCCUUCGGGUUGUAAAGAUAUUUCAGUGGCGAGGCGUUAGAUACAGAAGAAGCGACGGCUAACUCCGUACCAGCAGCCGCGGUAAUUC
rnacentral:rRNA from 1 species